CUCGUAGGCGGUUCGUCGCGUCCGGUGUGAAAGUCCAUCGCUUAACGGUGGAUCCGCGCCGGGUACGGGCGGGCUUGAGUGCGGUAGGGGAGACUGGAAUUCCCGGUGUAGCGGUGAAAUGCGUAGAGAUCGGUAGGAACACCAGUGGCGAAGGCGGCUUUCUGGACUGAAACUGACGCUGAGGCGCGAAAGCGUGGGGAGCAAACA
rnacentral:rRNA from 1 species